rnacentral:rRNA from 1 species
CACGGGGGGAGCAAGCGUUGUUCGGAAUCACUGGGCGUAAAGGGCGUGCAGGCGGUCAGGUAAGUGGGAUGUGAAAUGCCCCGGCUCACCCGGGGACCGGCAUCUCAUACUGCUUGGCUUGAGUACGGGAGAGGAUGUGGGAAUUCCUGGUGUAGCGGUGAAAUGCGUAGAUAUCAGGAGGAACACCGGUGGCGAAGGCGGGUCUCUGGGCCGAUACUGACGCUGAGGAGCGAAAGCGUGGGGAGCGAACAGG